rnacentral:rRNA from 1 species
GACGAACGCUGGCGGCGUGCCUAAUACAUGCAAGUUGAGCGCUGAAGGUUGGUACUUGUACCAACUGGAUGAGCAGCGAACGGGUGAGUAACGCGUGGGGAAUCUGCCUUUGAGCGGGGGACAACAUUUGGAAACGAAUGCUAAUACCGCAUAAAAACUUUAAACACAAGUUUUAAGUUUGAAAGAUGCAAUUGCAUCACUCAAAGAUGAUCCCGCGUUGUAUUAGCUAGUUGGUGAGGUAAAGGCUCACCAAGGCGAUGAUACAUAGCCGACCUGAGAGGGUGAUCGGCACCAUUGGGACUGAGACACGGCCCAAACUCCUACGGGAGGCAGCAGUAGGGAAUCUUCGGCAAUGGACGAAAGUCUGACCGAGCAACGCCGCGUGAGUGAAGAAGGUUGUCGGAUCGUAAAACUCUGUUGGUAGAGAAGAACGUUGGUGAGAGUGGAAAGCUCAUCAAGUGACGGUAACUACCCAGAAAGGGACGGCUAACUACGUG